GUCUACGGCCAUGUCACCCGUAACAAGCCUUAUGUUUGAUCUCAGAAGCUAAGCAAAGUCAGGCCUAGUUAGUACUUGGAUUGGAGACCACUUAAGAAGACCAGGUGCUGUAGGCA
rnacentral:rRNA from 1 species